rnacentral:misc_RNA from 1 species
CCGUGAGGGGUUCCCGUCUGUAGUGGACGGGGGCCGGGUGCGCAACAGCAAAUGAUUGCCAGACACACUAUUGGGCCCUGAGACAACACUCGGUCCGUCCGUGUGGAGUCCCUCCAUCUUGGUGGUGGGGUGUGGUGUUUGAGUAUUGGAUAGUGGUUGCGAGCAUCUAGAUGAGCGCAUGGUCUUCGUGGCCGGCG